rnacentral:rRNA from 1 species
CGAGCGGCGAACGGGUGAGUAACACGUGAGUAAUCUGCCCUUCACUUGGGGAUAACCUCCGGAAACGGUGGCUAAUACCCGAUACGACCAUUCCAGGCAUCUGGUGGUGGUGGAAAGUUUUUUCGGUGGGGGAUGUGCUCGCGGCCUAUCAGCUUGUUGGUGGGGUAAUGGCCUACCAAGGCUUCGACGGGUAGCCGGCCUGAGAGGGUGACCGGCCACACUGGGACUGAGACACGGCCCAGACUCCUACGGGAGGCAGCAGUGGGGAAUAUUGGACAAUGGGCGGAAGCCUGAUCCAGCAACGCCGCGUGAGGGAUGACGGCCUUCGGGUUGUAAACCUCUUUCACCGAUGACGAAGCGCAAGUGACGGUAGUCGGAGAAGAAGCACCGGCCAACUACGUGCCAGCAGCCGCGGUAAUACGUAGGGUGCGAGCGUUGUCCGGAAUUAUUGGGCGUAAAGGGCUCGUAGGCGGUUUGUCGCGUCGGGAGUGAAAACACGGGGCUUAACUCCGUGCUUGCUUUCGAUACGGGCAGACUAGAGGUAUGCAGGGGAGAACGGAAUUCCUGGUGUAGCGGUGAAAUGCGCAGAUAUCAGGAGGACACCGGUGGCGAAGCGGUUCUCUGGGCAU